rnacentral:rRNA from 1 species
UGGGGAAUUUUGGACAAUGGGCGAAAGCCUGAUCCAGCAAUGCCGCGUGUGUGAUGAAGGCCUUCGGGUUGUAAAGCACUUUUGGCGGGAACGAAAAGGACUGUGCCAAUACCACGGUUCGAUGACGGUACCCGCAGAAUAAGCACCGGCUAACUACGUGCCAGCAACCGCGGUAAUACGUAGGGUGCGAGCGUUAAUCGGAAUUACUGGGCGUAAAGAGUGCGCAGGCGGUUUUGCAAGACCGAUGUGAAAUCCCCGGGCUUAACCUGGGGACUGCAUUGGUGACUGCAAGGCUAGAGUGUGUCAGAGGGAGGUGGAACUCCGCAUGUAGCAGUGAAAUGCGUAGAUAUGCGGAAGAACACCGAUGGCGAAGGCAGCCUCCUGGGAUAACACUGACGCUCAUGCACGAAAGCGUGGGGAGCAAACAG